GAUUGUUUUAAUAUGCUUUUUGAGAUGCCAUUGUGUUUAGGUCUUGUAACUUGGAAUUUAUUUGUAGUGCUUAUAGAAAAGAUCGAGAUGCAAAAGACAAACUGUCUUCUUUAUGAAUGGUUGUCAGAACUUCAGAAGAGAGAAAUAGUAUUCUAAUCUAUACUUGUAUUUUUUAGGUAUCUACAUCAGAAGAGUCACUAAAUAGUAGGCGUUUUGAGUCAAGCAAGCCCUGAGGAUCAUGAAGCAACAUCACUAGGAAAUAUUUAGAUAUUUUUGUGAACUUCUAAUUUUGAUGUAAUUGUUUUGUAUGUUUAGUCACUUUACUAAUGUGAUUUUGUACUACUUUAAUUAUUGUUUUAGUUAAGUUUUGAUGUAUGGAUGUUACUAUUGAAUAAAUUAUAUGAAUGAGAAUAAGUCAUUUAUAUUUAUAUAUUUGAGCUUCUUGCAAAUUGCAAAUGGCUUNNNNNNNNNNNNNNNNNNAUGUAAUAGAAUUUACUAUGCAAUUGAUGGCUUUGAGAGCACUCAAAAAUAACAUUUUUU
rnacentral:lncRNA from 1 species